CUUUGCCCUUUAACUUGGUGGUGCAGUCACUGUUCUCUUCCCACAGCCAUGCAGUUGGACCAAUCAUUGGCCUUCUCCAUUGUUUCUGCUCCUGGGCGUUGGGGGGCAUUCCCCAGCCUUCUGCCAAGGGCGGCAACCUCUGGACAGAGAGACAGCCAACACUUUCUCUGAAACACCUGCUCCAUGGUACUUCUUGGGACAUCAACUCCAAAAGACGGAAGGUGAAAAGUGGUUCUGAGCGACAGGUGCAAACCCGGCAUUCUGACAGUGG
ensembl:lincRNA